rnacentral:rRNA from 1 species
UACGGGGGGAGCAAGCGUUGUUCGGAUUUACUGGGCGUAAAGGGCGCGUAGGCGGCGCAACAAGUCACUUGUGAAAUCUCCGGGCUUAACCCGGAGCGGUCAAGUGAUACUGUCGUGCUAGAGUGCGGAAGGGGCUACUGGAAUUCUCGGUGUAGCGGUGAAAUGCGUAGAUAUCGAGAGGAACACCUGCGGCGAAGGCGGGUAGCUGGGCCGACACUGAACGCUGAUGCGCGAAAGCCAGGGGAGCGAACGGG